rnacentral:rRNA from 1 species
CUACGGGACGCUCCAGUGGGGAAUAUUGGACAAUGGGGGCAACCCUGAUCCAGCCAUGCCGCGUGUGUGAAGAAGGCCUUAGGGUUGUAAAGCACUUUCAGAUGUGAGGAAAGGUGUGUGCUUAAUACGUACAUACUGUGACGUUAGCAUCAGAAGAAGGACCGGCUAACUCCGUGCCAGCAGCCGCGGUAAUACGGAGGGUCCGAGCGUUAAUCGGAAUUACUGGGCGUAAAGCGCGCGUAGGUGGUUUCGUCAGUCAGAUGUGAAAGCCCCGGGCUCAACCUGGGAAUUGCACCUGAUACUGCGGAACUAGAGUAUGAUAGAGGUGAGUGGAAUUUCCGGUGUAGCGGUGAAAUGCGUAGAGAUCGGAAGGAACACCAGUGGCGAAGACGACUCCCUGGAUUGAUACUGACACUGAGGUGCGAAAGCGUGGGGAGCAAACAGGAUUAGAUACCCUCGUAGUC